rnacentral:piRNA from 1 species
UAAAUAAGAUGGACCCAGCAAUGUUUGCACU